ACCAGUACCGUGAGGGAAAGGUGAAAAGCACCCCGGAAGGGGAGUGAAAUAGAACCUGAAACCGUGUGCUUACAAGUAGUCAGAGCCCGUUAAUGGGUGAUGGCGUGCCUUUUGUAGAAUGAACCGGCGAGUUACGAUUUGAUGCAAGGUUAAGCAGUAAAUGUGGAGCCGUAGCGAAAGCGAGUCUGAAUAGGGCGUUUAGUAUUUGGUCGUAGACCCGAAACCAGGUGAUCUACCCUUGGUCAGGUUGAAGUUCAGGUAACACUGAAUGGAGGACCGAACCGACUUACGUUGAAAAGUGAGCGGAUGAACUGAGGGUAGCGGAGAAAUUCCAAUCGAACCUGGAGAUAGCUGGUUCUCUCCGAAAUAGCUUUAGGGCUAGCCUCAAGUGAUGAUUAUUGGAGGUAGAGCACUGUUUGGACGAGGGGCCCCUCUCGGGUUACCGAAUUCAGACAAACUCCGAAUGCCAAUUAAUUUAACUUGGGAGUCAGAACAUGGGUGAUAAGGUCCGUGUUCGAAAGGGAAACAGCCCAGACCACCAGCUAAGGUCCCAAAAUAUAUGUUAAGUGGAAAAGGAUGUGGCGUUGCCCAGACAACUAGGAUGUUGGCUUAGAAGCAGCCAUCAUUUAAAGAGUGCGUAAUAGCUCACUA
rnacentral:rRNA from 1 species